GGAGUGGGGCGGGGCCUACAGGCUCUCCGCUGGGCCCGAGCGGGCUGGGGGAGGGGAGCGUGGGGCCGACAGUUUUGGGGGUGAAAAGGCAAAAGGCGGGUGAAAGGCUGCCUCCCGAGACUCUCCUUGCUUGGAAUUCUGCCCACUCUGCGGAGUUAGCAGUCACGACCUCCAGCACAGGAUGUGGUACCACAGAUUGUCCCACCUACACAGCAGGCUUCAGGACUUGCUGAAGGGAGGAGUCAUAUAUCCGGCCCUUCCACAGCCCAACUUCAAAAGCUUACUUCCUUUAGCUGUCCAUUGGCACCAUACAGCCUCCAAGUCUCUGACUUGUGCUUGGCAGCAACAUGAAGAUCAUUUUGAGCUGAAAUAUGCUAAUACCGUGAUGCGCUUUGAUUACGUCUGGCUUCGAGACCACUGCCGCUCAGCAUCGUGCUACAACUCUAAGACUCACCAGCGCAGCCUGGAUACUGCCAGUGUGGAUUUAUGUAUCAAGCCAAAGACCAUUCGUCUGGAUGAGACCACACUCUUUUUUACUUGGCCAGAUGGUCAUGUGACUAAAUAUGAUUUGAAUUGGCUGGUGAAAAACAGCUAUGAAGGGCAGAAACAAAAAGUCAUCCAGCCUAGAAUACUAUGGAAUGCUGAAAUCUACCAGCAAGCCCAAGUUCCAUCGGUAGAUUGCCAGAGCUUCUUAGAAACCAACGAGGGACUGAAGAAGUUUCUGCAAAACUUUCUGCUCUAUGGAAUUGCAUUCGUAGAAAAUGUCCCUCCCACUCAAGAGCACACAGAGAAGUUGGCAGAAAGGAUCAGCUUAAUCAGAGAAACCAUUUAUGGGAGGAUGUGGUAUUUCACUUCAGACUUCUCCAGAGGUGACACUGCGUACACCAAGCUAGCUCUGGAUCGGCACACUGACACUACCUAUUUUCAAGAGCCCUGUGGCAUUCAAGUGUUUCAUUGUCUUAAACAUGAAGGAACUGGUGGCAGGACACUGCUAGUAGAUGGAUUCUAUGCAGCAGAACAGGUACUUCAAAAGGCACCUGAGGAAUUUGAACUCCUCAGUAAAGUGCCAUUGAAGCAUGAAUAUAUUGAAGAUGUUGGAGAAUGUCACAACCACAUGAUUGGGAUUGGGCCAGUCUUAAAUAUCUACCCAUGGAAUAAAGAGCUGUAUUUGAUCAGGUACAACAACUAUGACCGGGCUGUCAUCAAUACCGUUCCUUAUGAUGUCGUCCAUCGCUGGUAUACAGCACACCGGACUCUAACGAUAGAGUUGAGGAGACCUGAGAAUGAGUUUUGGGUCAAACUAAAGCCUGGCAGGGUGGGUCCUAAUCUCUAAAGAUGUCAAGCAAGCUUGUAAUACUGAAGCAGUGAAGAACGGGUACUUACUUAAUAUGUCCUAUUUAUAGACAACUGGCGUGUCCUACAUGGCAGGGAAUGCUUCACUGGCUACCGCCAACUCUGUGGCUGCUAUUUAACAAGAGAUGAUGUAUUAAACACUGCUCGCCUCUUGGGGCUUCAGGCUUAAAAUUGACAGCAUCUGGAUUAUGAAUACACCUGGCACCCUGGCUACCAGAAUUUCAUAUGGGCAGAAUAAUAUUGUGUCAAACUCUACUUCAGAUUGUCUCCUUAUCCCAUCCCACAAAACAGAAUCUGUCCGUUUCUCUAGUAAGGGAGACUUGUUGGAGAGGCGGGACUCUGAGUUAUCUAAUGUCAGACAUCUAGUGGGGCAGCUCUCUUCCUCAUGUUAUAACAUGGAUCCACUUGUUUUAUUUAAACCUUUUAAUAUAAUUUUGGUCAGUCUCCUUCAGAAAUAUAAUCUCCAUAUUGAUAGGAAAGCAAUAAUUGCCAUGAGGUAACGAUUUUUUUCCCAAGUAGAUCAGUUAGAAAGAAAUGCAUUCUAGAAAUAACAAAAAUCCUGAUAAAGCAACAAUUUGCAAAAUGUUUGGUCUUAGGACACCUUAACACUCUUAAAAGUUAUUGAAGGCCCCAAGGAGUUCUUGGGUGUGGGUUCUAUCUAUUGAUACGAAUUAUUUUAGGUAUUAAGACUGAGAAAUAUUUAAAACUCAAGAAGAACACAGAAGCACACAUCCCUCAGCUAUCAGAGAGAUGACAUAACCAUAUGUCAUGUAGCCUCUGGAAAAGUCCUCUGUAUCCUCAUGAGAUAACGAGAGGGGGAAAAAAAGCUACUACUGCCUUUGUAACUUCCACUUAGCCUACUACAGGGCUAUGCACAUCUUAGUUUCCAAAAGUCUGCUUAAUUUCAAAAGAAAAAUGCCUAAUUGAAUGUAACUCAUCUUGGUGUUAUUAUACAAAAUAAUUUUUAAUCUGCAGACCCACGAAAAGGGUCUCAGGGACUCCUCCAGGGGUCUUCAGACCAUACGUUGAGAACCCAUGGGCUAGCGACUACCUUGAGACAGUCCUUUACCUAGGCCUGUGGAUUAAAGGGUUUAGCUGAAACCCUAGAUUCUUCUCUAUAGUCUAAUAGAACUCCAAACAUUGUAAGAAUUGCUUGGUAGCAUAAGCUCAGGGAUAAGGUGGGAAUUGAGUUCAAAUAUAGUGUUUUAUCUUCCACACAAAUCAUCUCUAUAGGAGUUAAAUUAGGAAGUCACAACAGCGCCUGUUGAACAAACUCAUCAGUGUGGUAAUCCUUUGAGGGAUAAUUGCAGAAAGGUUUUAGAGACUUGUGAGGUUCCAUAUGAUAAUUCUUUACACCUCCCCCCCGAAGAGAAAGUACACAGGGCUAUUCUGUAAUAUUGUUCAGGGAAAUCAGCAUGACAGAUGCUGUGCCUCCAGAGAGUUCUCUGGAGAUUACUACCCAAAUGUGUAUUUUGGCAAUUUGGUGGUAUUUAGGAUGUAAUAUGUUUUCCUCCAUUUCUGCUAAUUUUCUCUCUCUCUCUCUCAUAACAUACUAUACAUGCUAAUUGCCAAGAUUUGAAUGAGUCAAAUUUAGUAGCUUGCUGCUUUUAUUUUUUAAAUGGCUUCUUUUACGUAUUGGCGGGGGGCGGGGGGGGGUGGGGGCAGGGUAUGAGGCUUCUUUUCCCUCAGCUUUCAUUGAAAGUGAAGCUGUACAAUAACCACAUUGACCACUGUAGAAUGAUGAAAGAGAAUACAGGCUAGGAUGCACACAAGAGGGGGGAAAAGGCAUUAUUAGUGAAGAUAGGAGUUACAAAGCAAAGCAAAGUCAGUAUUCAGAUAGAGAAUAGAGCCUAAUCUGAUGUUUGCAGGGAGUUCCUAGAUCACAUUUGGCAAUUUACACAUUAUUUUAUUGACCUAUCCAGUGCUCCAAAAUGUGUUCCAAAAUAUUUUGGCAUUUUAUUUGUACUAUAUAGGAAUCUUUAGGGGAGUCCAUGAAAUUUGUUUUCCUCUUAGGUCAAAGGACUGAUAAUUAACUUUGGUUCUUAAGGAGUAUGCCCUUUAGCAAUAAGAACAGCAAUAACAUUUUACCCUGCAGUUUUUUCUCUAUACCUACUAUUAUGCACUCCUAAAAUAUGUCAUCAUUAGUCUUCAUGAGGAUGUUUACCAUUUCUGAAGUUUUGCGUAAAUUAGCCUUGAAGAUUACACUAUAACUGAGGUCAUCAGCAUUGACUUAUGGCUAGCAAAGGACAUGCUCAUGGCCCUGGAGAGAUGAGGACACAAAACAAAUCAAUUUCCCCACUUACUGAAGGACUCCCCUUACCUUCUGUCUCUCCUGAGACCUUGACUCAUUAAUUAUUUUACUCUCCUUUUUGGAAAUUUGCAACCGGUCCUUCUCAACAAUGUACUCCCUUUAGUACAUUGAAGAAAAAGGGAAGGGAAUUAUUUGAGUCCUGAUCACGAUGCAUUGAAAACUUCCUAUGUGAGAUGUUUCUGUUUUUAUAUCUCUUCCAGGUGUCCCUGAGUAUAUAAGCAUGGGUCUAUGUCUACCAAGCUCACUGUAGAGUCACUUUUACCUUUUGCUAUGGUGGAAUGGGAUCUGUAGGGUCAGGAACACAGCACCCAACACAGUGCCUUAUGGAUAGUAGUUUUAUAAUACAGAUGUGUUGGAAGAAUAAAUGAAUGGGUCCUUUUCAAACAAAUUCA